UACGGAGGGGGCUAGCGUUGUUCGGAAUUACUGGGCGUAAAGCGCGCGUAGGCGGCUUUGUAAGUUAGAGGUGAAAGCCCGGAGCUUAACUCCGGAAUUGCCUUUAAGACUGCAUCGCUAGAAUUGUGGAGAGGUAAGUGGAAUUCCGAGUGUAGAGGUGAAAUUCGUAGAUAUCGGGAGGAACACCAGUGGCGAAGGCGGCCACCUGGAUGGAUACUGACGCUGAGACGCGAAAGCGUGGGGAGCAAACAGG
rnacentral:rRNA from 1 species